AAGGUUUCACCCCAAAAGGAAUUGUUGUUUAAAACCCCCGAUAUAUGCUCCAGGGACGUUUUGGUGCCCCGAAUGAAAACCUAAAACCUACUGCCUAUUGGCCGUCGCGGGUUUAGAUAAAGCAGAGAAGAAUUUUCAAAACUUAACUUUCCCGUUGGUUCACGAACCUGAUACUGCUCUAAAAAAUUUGCUAGUUAUAGCACGUCCUAAUUGCAGUACUCGAAUUGGGAGGACGAAGCAGGCAUGGAAACAGUCUACUUCCAUUUUUCUGAAUUUUUCUGAAUUUUUCU